ensembl:lncRNA
UCAUGGGGUCGCAAAGAGUCGGACACAACUAAGCGACUGAACUGAACUGAUACUAUACAGAAAACCUCCUCGGUCACUUUCUCUAUACAACUGGGAGGGUCACUGGACUUUUUGGAGUCUCUAUUUCUUAUCUGAAAAUUGGGACUGAUUUUGCCUCCUGCAAAACAGUGGCAGUGUGAACACAGAAUUAUAUCUGACCCGGAAAUUCCUAGGUGUUUACCCAUGAGAAAUGUGUUCACACAAAAACUCAUACACGAAUGUUUCCAGCAGCAUUGUUUGUAACAUGUGAAAGGUGGAAACAACACAAAUGUGCAUCAGUGGGUGAAUGGAUGAACAGAACAGUCUGUCCAUACAACAGAAUAUUACUCAGCAAUGAGAAGAAACGAGGUAUGGAUACAUUCUACAGCACGGGUGGACCUUGACAACAUUGGGCUAAGUAUGAGAAACCAGCUACAAAAGACCACGACAUAUGAUAGGAUUCCAUUCAUUCAAAAUGUCCAGAAUCAGCAAAUCUACAGAACUAGGGCUUGCUCCCCUGCAGUUUCCUAACAUACUUUUCCCCCGAGGUUUAUGUAAGGGGCCCAGGGUUGGGUUAUAAUGUGGAGCCUGUGAGAACUUGGGCAGGUCACCUCUCCAUUUUCUCAUCUGUAAAAUGGGAAUAGUCGUGGCUGCCUCAACCCUCAGGAAGGUGGUCACAAGCGGAUGGGAUCACAGAGUGAAAGGGCCUUAGAGCCUGUAAUUACCAUCUUUGCUAAGACUCCACCUCCCAGAGAAGCGCCCAGGAAGACAUCUGUGCCCAGGAAAUGUGACAGUUCCACGUACCUGUCUAUUUGUUUCUGCAUCUCCGUGUUCAGUCUGUAGGCUCUGUGAGGGUGAGGACUGGGUCUUUCUUGGUCACUAACAGAUGUUCAGUCUGGCAAGGUGCCUGGCAAGUAGUGGGUGAUACAGAAAUAUUUGGGAAGAAAAGAAAACGUGAAUGCCUGUGGAAAAGAGGAUUAAAGAAGGGGUGCAAAUUGUUCAAUACGUCCAAAGGGUGUCUAAGCCGCAAGCCCCCUGUGGCAUGGUCACUGUCCCAGCAUCUUCCCGCCCCCGUCAGAGUGUGGCUGCCCCCGGCCCACCUCUCUGAUCUCCCCUCUCUGUCUGCCCUAUGGCUGCCCCUUGCCUUCUUCAUUCAUUCACCAGCUCUCCAUUUUCUGGGCAUCCACCACAUGUUGAAAUGAGCUUGACAUCAGUGGAUACUGCCAGAUGGCUUUCCUAAGUUGUCCCCUUGUCUUCAAUGGAUGCUCGUCUACACUGCCCCACAUCAUCAUCAGGGCUUGAUGACAUUGAUCCUCCCUCUCACUUCCCUUUGUCUUUGUUGUUCAGCCGCCCAGUCUUGUCCAAGUCUCUGCGACCCCAUGGACUGCAACAUGCCAGGCCUCCCGGUCCCUCGUCAUCUCCCCAAAUUUGCCCAAGUUCAUGUCCAUUGCAUUGGUGAUGCC